rnacentral:lncRNA from 1 species
AUUCACUAUUCAUCUUUUUCCUCUUUUUGUCCCAAACUAAAACCCUUCUUCAAGCUUUCCACCAGCCAUAAAUUCCUAAAUCCAACCCUCCAUAGGUCAAAAAAAAAUUCCUAGUUUCUACCUUAAAAACUUGGGAAGAUGCUUUCUCUUGGCCUAUCAUUGAUCAAAACCCACUCAUUCAUGAUCUUUACCAAAACCCUUGAAACCCUUAUCUCAAAAAUCCUAAAUAAACACAUCUAAAUCCCUCAUUUCUCUUCAUUCCCAUCAACCCUUCACCUUAUAUUCCUCUCUUGACUGGUUCCUUGACCCUCAUUGCAACAAUGGCUCCCAAGAUGCGACUGCCCC